GGCACUACGGUGCUGAAGCAACAAAUGCCCUGCUUCCAGGAAAAGCCUCUAAGCAUCAGGUAACAUCAAAUCGUACCCCAAACCGACACAGGUGGUCAGGUAGAGAAUACCAAGGCGCUUGAGAGAACUCGGGUGAAGGAACUAGGCAAAAUGGUGCCGUAACUUCGGGAGAAGGCACGCUGAUAUGUAGGUGAAGUCCCUCGCGGAUGGAGCUGAAAUCAGUCGAAGAUACCAGCUGGCUGCAACUGUUUAUUAAAAACACAGCACUGUGCAAACACGAAAGUGGACGUAUACGGUGUGACGCCUGCCCGGUGCCGGAAGGUUAAUUGAUGGGGUUAGCGCAAGCGAAGCUCUUGAUCGAAGCCCCGGUAAACGGCGGCCGUAACUAUAACGGUCCUAAGGUAGCGAAAUUCCUUGUCGGGUAAGUUCCGACCUGCACGAAUGGCGUAAUGAUGGCCAGGCUGUCUCCACCCGAGACUCAGUGAAAUUGAACUCGCUGUGAAGAUGCAGUGUACCCGCGGCAAGACGGAAAGACCCCGUGAACCUUUACUAUAGCUUGACACUGAACAUUGAGCCUUGAUGUGUAGGAUAGGUGGGAGGCUUUGAAGUGUGGACGCCAGUCUGCAUGGAGCCGACCUUGAAAUACCACCCUUUAAUGUUUGAUGUUCUAACGUUGACCCGUAAUCCGGGUUGCGGACAGUGUCUGGUGGGUAGUUUGACUGGGGCGGUCUCCUCCUAAAGAGUAACGGAGGAGCACGAAGGUUGGCUAAUCCUGGUCGGACAUCAGGAGGUUAGUGCAAUGGCAUAAGCCAGCUUGACUGCGAGCGUGACGGCGCGAGCAGGUGCGAAAGCAGGUCAUAGUGAUCCGGUGGUUCUGAAUGGAAGGGCCAUCGCUCAACGGAUAAAAGGUACUCCGGGGAUAACAGGCUGAUACCGCCCAAGAGUUCAUAUCGACGGCGGUGUUUGGCACCUCGAUGUCGGCUCAUCACAUCCUGGGGCUGAAGUAGGUCCCAAGGGUAUGGCUGUUCGCCAUUUAAAGUGGUACGCGAGCUGGGUUUAGAACGUCGUGAGACAGUUCGGUCCCUAUCUGCCGUGGGCGCUGGAGAACUGAGGGGGGCUGCUCCUAGUACGAGAGGACCGGAGUGGACGCAUCACUGGUGUUCGGGUUGUCAUGCCAAUGGCACUGCCCGGUAGCUAAAUGCGGAAGAGAUAAGUGCUGAAAGCAUCUAAGCACGAAACUUGCCCCGAGAUGAGUUCUCCCUGACUCCUUGAGAGUCCUGAAGGAACGUUGAAGACGACGACGUUGAUAGGCCGGGUGUGUAAGCGCAGCGAUGCGUUGAGCUAACCGGUACUAAUGAACCGUGAGGCUUAACCUU
rnacentral:rRNA from 1 species